AAUUGUCAGUUUGUGUACCUCGGCUGAUUCCUGGACGAGGAUUUUAUGCACAAAUAAGUUCGGAAAUUACUAGUGAAUUUCCGGGCGUGACACACCGUCUCCUUCGGCUCGUCAAGCUCCUACGCUUGCACCGGCUCCUAUGGCUCCUCAACCUCCUCCACCUCCUCAUACUGCCAAGUCCCGGUCUCGCCAAGCUCCGCUUGCCAGGUCAAGGUCUCCUCCUCCAGCACCUAGCAAGUCAAGGACAACGAAGAAGGCAAAAGUGGAGGACUCACGGUGCCCCGAUCCCGUGACUCAGCCAUACCUCUGCACUCAAGAGGAGGCUGAUAAAUCGGUUCAAGAGUACGUGAAGUCGCACUUCAGGAAGAGGAGUCCAGAAAAAAAGAUUCCUAUAGAUCCGGCUGUGAAGGACUUCUUUCUGAAGAUGGGACAACCGGCGAAAGAGAAAGUACCAGUAUCGGACUAUGACCGAGCACUGAAGAAGCAUUCUCAUCACAAGAAGUCCAAAAAAGUCACUCAACUCGGCGAGCAAUCACAACAAGAGGUUGAGCCAUUGCUGUCACCUAGAGAAUAAGGGAUCAGGACUUUUAUGAAAGAUACUGGACUGGGGAGGGAACAAUUGCUUGGAGGUGCACCAAUCCCAAAAGCGGAGGUGAGACAUAAGUUCAAACUCGGUGAACCGUUUGUCAAGCCUGAUCAAGUGAAGACCCUCACGACACAGAUGUACCGAUUCCAUCAAUGGUACAUGGACAAAUCACCCGGCAGUAGAGAGAUGUUUGGAGGCUCGUCAAAUGAUGUCCUGUGGAUCGACUUCGCGGACAGAUACGAUCUAUACCAUCUGGAUGCCCUCGAUGUAUCUAUUAUGGCCACAUGGACAUUAUAAGUAUUGCUCAUAGUUAGAUUUAUUUCGUUCCUUAGCUCCUUGUAUGUAGCUCAUACAAAUUCCUUUUAUCGUAGCUCAUACAAAUUUCUUUUAUCGGUUGUAGAAUGGAGGUUCAAAGGUGUCGAAAGCAGGGAAAACAAAGUACUUGCUUCAUCGACCCCUGUCGAGUUAACGUCAAACCGCUUGACAAGUUCCCUCAACAAACAGAGGAGAAUCUUGUACAUUUUCUAGUGCAGCAACAUUAUAAGACGUACAUACUUCUGUCGUACAACACUAAAUUCCACUAGGUCCUCCUGCUUUUCAACUUGGACUCAUGCAGAGUCCAUGUCUAUGACUCAAUGGAUAAAGAAGAGAAACUUUUUGACGAUAUUUUUGCAUUGAUAGACAGUGUGCAAAGCAGGAACAGGGGACUAACUUGUGCGGCUACUACAACUACGAGUAUAUGCACUGCCUAGCAAACCAAAUCCACAGCACCAAGGAACUCGAAUUCAUUUACUUAAGGAACAAGUCGACCACUCGAUUUGGAUUAAGACUAUUCAAGAACAACUUAUGGGAUUUAUCAACGAACAGAUCCUAGAUCCCACGGUUGAAUUCUAUUAGGACGGGAAUACAGUUCAUAGCGUCAGUCCUUCUUCCUCUGAGGCGACGUUGACGAUUCGUAGCUAGCUAGCAUAAGUGCGCUGAAAUACAAACAUUAUAUUCAAUGUCCAAAGAAAUUGUAAUAUAUGUAUAUAUUUAUAUACGGUAGCGCUACAUGACGCUACACACAGGCAUUGCGCGUCAGGAAGUUUGGUGGCACGACUCACAGGAAGAAAAACCCACCACCGUGACAACCAGCCGAUAACAGAGUUAAAGUUAACUUAUCUAUAUUGGUGGUGGGUUCCGAUGCAGCUAUUUAAGAGUUAUAGUUUAACUUUCGUACAAAUAGAUGUUCAGUUGUGAAGGAGUUAUCGGGAGUUAAUAUUUGACUUACGCACAGUUGGUAUGUGGGAUCUGGUGUUGAGGAUAUUGAGUUAAAAAUUAACUUAUUGUGGUUGUAUAGGUCAUCGUGGCAUGAUAGGCAUGAUAAACCCAUCUCUCCGUGAGUUAAAUUGUAACUGUUGAAUCAUCGUGAGUGAAAUUACAGGAUC